AAUGAACGUUGGCGGCGUGGAUUAGGCAUGCAAGUCGAGCGAGAACCGUAGCAAUACGGGGACAGCGGCGAAAGGGAGAGUAACACGUGGAUACCUACCCUCGGGUUCAGGAUAGCUGCGGGAAACUGCAGGUAAUACUGAAUGAUAUCUCCGGAUCAAAGGUGUGAUUCCGCCCGGGGAGGGGUCCGCGUCCUAUUAGCUUGUUGGCGAGGUAACGGCUCACCAAGGCGAAGAUGGGUAUGGGAUGUGAGAGCAUGAUCCCACUCAUUGGGACUGAGACACUGCCCAGACACCUACGGGUGGCUG
rnacentral:rRNA from 1 species